AAUAUUAGUCAGUACCCUGUGAGUUGGGGAUGUCUCGCCUUCUUUGUGGGAUGUGACUAAAACAGGGCAGGAAGACCUAGACAAGGAACUGCUUGAUCAUUGGCUGAGCGAUCCUGGCAACAACACACUGCAACAGAUACCUGCACUGGUUGUAAGUCUCUAACAGCAACAGUUGUUUCUGUUCUCUGGAAACAAGCCUAGGAGCAGACACAAGUGUGAGCUCUGAGCCCACAAUCCUGGUUUGUCCUUGAAGUAUGAGGCUGGUGAUUGGAAUAACUGUUUUUCUGACCUUGGGGGCUGUGAUUAAUGCUAAGACCACCCAGCCCAGCUCCAUGGAUUGUGCUGAAGGAGAGGAUGUAAACCUGCCUUGUAACCACUCUACCAUUGGUGGAAAUGACUAUAUCCAUUGGUAUCGGCAAAAUCCCAAUCAGAGUCCACAGUAUGUCAUUCAUGGCUUAAGAGGCACAGUGAACAGCAGCAUGGCCUCUCUGACCAUAGCUUCAGACAGAAAGUCCAGCACCUUGGUCCUGCCCCAGCUCACCCUGAGAGACGCUGCUGUGUACUACUGCGUCCUGAGAGAGGCACACUGGGACAGAUGGGGCUGCACCUGUGCAGUAUCUCUGGUGGUCUGGUGGGAAGAUGGGGGGGCAGAGUUGGGGGAGCCGUCACAAGAGCAAAUCUAG